rnacentral:rRNA from 1 species
AAUCGAAGCAGUGAACUUAAGCCCCAGUAAACGGCGGCCGUAACUAUAACGGUCCUAAGGUAGCGAAAUUCCUUGUCGGGUAAGUUCCGACCCGCACGAAAGGCGUAACGAUUUGGGCACUGUCGCAACAACAGACUCGGUGAAAUUGUAAUUCCGGUGAAGAUGCCGGAUACCUGCGACAGGACGGAAAGACCCCAUGGAGCUUUACUGUAGCUUGACAUUGGGUCUUGGUACUACAUGUACAGGAUAGGU